GCAUUCUUAGCUCAGUUGGAUAGAGCAACAGUCUUCUAAACUGGUGGUGGGAGGUUCAAAUCCUCUAGAAUGUA
rnacentral:tRNA from 1 species